rnacentral:rRNA from 1 species
UACGUAGGGGGCAAGCGUUGUCCGGAUUUAUUGGGCGUAAAGGGCGCGUAGGCGCCAUGCGUGUCUUCCGUGAAAUCCCUCGGCUUAACUGAGGACGUGCGGAAGAAACUGCAAGGCUUGAGUCCGGGAGAGGGGGGUGGAAUUCCCAGUGUAGCGGUGAAAUGCGUAGAUAUUGGGAGGAACACCAGUGGCGAAGGCGGCUCACUGGACCGGAACUGACGCUGAGGCGCGAAAGCGUGGGGAGCAAACGGG